ACAUAUUUGGACGUUGGCAAUUUAUUCCAUCGAUAAUUUUAAAGUUUUAACAUUUUUAUAUUAAAUUCUUUUUUAAUUUAGUUCUAAAACGAUUAAGCUUGCUUUCUGUGAAAAUUUAAUGUACUUUCGUAAAAUAAUUUUGAUGUGGCAGCGAUUUGAAAAGGAAAUUAGUUAAAAAUAAUACAAAAAAAUCGGACAUUUUUUGAUAUUAAAACAUGAAUAACUUGGGCUGUGUUGACAGUAGAAAAAUUUAUUAACCUCUAUCCGACAGCUUUAAAAUUUUUCUACGCGCCGCGCAAAUCCACGCGCGCAUUUUAGCGUGUCAAAAUCGUUUAAAACUAGAAUUAGUUGAUGAAGGAGCAUAAUGCAGAUCAUACGUUGUACGUGUGGCUUGAACAUUAUGAUUUCGCGCCAUUUCUUGUUUCUGCACUCGCUUUGAACUUUCAUGGCUUUAACAGCAGUUAUCGACUGACGACUUUGCUGUAUUACAUAGUGUACUUGGUACAUAAUUGAUCAACGAUAAUAGGAGGAACCCCUGCAAGCUUUAAAGGGCUCGUGUUACUUUAACAUCACUUUUGAAUUUCACGAAAGCAGAUAAAAGUUUUAGUGACGUUGCAGAAACUCCGGAAUACUGUGGAUUGGGAGGAGGAGAAAGUGAUAAUUCUGUUAUAUGGCCUGUUUCUAGGACACGAUAAACUUCCUAAUAAGAUCAGAUGGCUAAGUUACGGUGCAAAGACGGGUAGCUUGAGACUACCCGUUGUUACCUAUAAUCUAACUCACUCUUUCCACAUACGCGGCUAACCUGUUCCCGAUCAAUAUUCAGUUAACAACUCUACCUCGAUUCGAUGCAGUGCACAGUGGGAAAGGUUGAAGUUGACGUUCAAGCAGUCACCCUGCCGAACAAGAAAUCUUUCAGGCCAAGAGGCUAGGUGACUAGA